GACGAACGCUGGCGGCGUGCUUAACACAUGCAAGUCGAACGGAAAGGCCCUGCUUUUGUGGGGUGCUCGAGUGGCGAACGGGUGAGUAACACGUGAGUAACCUGCCCUUGACUUUGGGAUAACUUCAGGAAACUGGGGCUAAUACCGGAUAGGAGCUCCUGCUGCAUGGUGGGGGUUGGAAAGUUUCGGCGGUUGGGGAUGGACUCGCGGCUUAUCAGCUUGUUGGUGGGGUAGUGGCUUACCAAGGCUUUGACGGGUAGCCGGCCUGAGAGGGUGACCGGCCACAAUGGGACUGAGAUACGGCCCAGACUCCUACGGGAGGCAGCAGUGGGGAAUAUUGCACAAUGGGCGGAAGCCUGAUGCAGCAACGCCGCGUGCGGGAUGACGGCCUUCGGGUUGUAAACCGCUGUCGCCGGUGACGAAGCGUGAGUGACGGUAAUGGGUAAAGAAGCACCGGCUAACUACGUG
rnacentral:rRNA from 1 species